UACGUAGGGCGCAAGCGUUGUCCGGAAUUAUUGGGCGUAAAGAGCUCGUAGGCGGCUUGUCACGUCGGAUGUGAAAGCCCGGGGCUUAACUCCGGGUCUGCAUUCGAUACGGGCUGGCUAGAGUGUGGUAGGGGAGAUCGGAAUUCCUGGUGUAGCGGUGAAAUGCGCAGAUAUCAGGAGGAACACCGGUGGCGAAGGCGGUUCUCUGGGCCUUACCUGACGCUGAGGAGCGAAAGCGUGGGGAGCGAACAGG
rnacentral:rRNA from 1 species